rnacentral:miRNA from 1 species
GAGGGCGCGUGUAGUGUAGUCG